GUGAUUGUCCUUGAUUCAGAAAAUUUGGUGCAGAAAUUUGUAGAUGUAUAAAUGAAAAAUUGUUUGUUUAUAAUAAUAUUCCUUUUUUUCAACUAUGAUAUAUAAAAUGUCGUUUCUUAGCCUAUAGAGUAGUUUCUCCAAGUGAGCACCGAUAUAUUGUGUUGCGUUCGGAAAUUGAGCACCAUUUUUCAGAUUCAUUUUCAAGUGUUAUUUUCACUCAUUAGCCUUGCUUAACGGUUAACAGAGAAUGGGAGUAGGCAGGCAGUGGCGGCAUGCAAUUUAAAAUUGGGAUUCCAAUCUUUCAUUUGGUGUAUAAAGUAAAGCAAAAUAAAGAAUACAUAAAUUGUAA